rnacentral:lncRNA from 1 species
CCGCCGCCUAGUCCUGGGCGGGCGGCUCUGGGACCCGCGCUCCGAGCGUUCCUCCUCCGCUGCUGUCUCUGUUCCGGCUCCGGCUCACUGGGUCUUGGCCUCUUUCUCCAGCAAGGGCCGAUGCAGGGCAGCACCGACAGACAGACUGAUGAAUAGCCCGACGAAAAUCUGCCAGCCUGAGUUCGCAGAGCUUCUUUCGGCAGGGAAGUUCCCUCUCGAAAGUUUUGGUACCGCACCCAGGAGCCAUCGCACCCAGGAGCCGGAGCCGCAGCCGCCCGAGCCUCCCGAGCCGCCCGAGCCGCCCGAGCCUCCAGAACGGAAGCCGCUAGCCUGGGUCCAGAGCUGGGCCAGGUGAGCAGACAGGCCAGGAUACUUGCUGGCCCAAGACUACCAGAGAGAACCUGAGAGGAAUUAGGUCCGUCGGCGUGGGCCUCCCAUCCCACUUUUCCCGCCUCCUACGUUUAGACUGUGAGAAACAGAGUAGCGGAUGCUGCCCGGAGUAGGCCAGAGAACAGGGCCGAAGAACAGGUGCUACGCAAAGCCCCAGCAUUAGCGUUGGCCCCCAGGCACGGCAGCUGCGGGCCAGAGGGCAGCCUGCCAUAGGAGGGCCCAGAAAGAGCUCCCACGACCCUCAAGACGAGCCUGCUCGCCGACCCAGCUCUCCGCUGCGCGCCCACAAAGAGCAGCACACUCCCAGCCUUCAGGCCGCCAUAGUAGGGACGGUGGCCAUGGUGGUGCUAGCAGGGAGGUGGGCCUGAGCUCUGACCAGCUGCCUGCUGGGAAAGAUGGAAUCCCUUACUUUGAUGAAUGCCUUGCGAUUGUCCGGAAAGGGGCUGCUUGGGAUAGUGGCGGAGGCUAGCACCCACCUAACUACAAGCACUCUCCGCCUGUAUCCACCCGAAAGUUUUCCUGCCCUCUUAUCCUGGGCUUCAGGCUCCUAGGGACUGUCAGGCUGGGUGACUGCGCUGCUGUGUGUGGGUGGGUGAGUGGGUGUGGGUGUGUGUGGCUCUGGCUCUCUCUGUUUCUGUCUCUCGGGCUGAUUCUCUACCUCUUUCUCCUGCAGUCUUUUGCUCUCCCGGGAUCUAUGCCCAGGUCUGUUUGACUCUUCCCUUCUCUCCAGGAAAACUGGUGCGGUUCUCCGUGCUCGCUGCUCAAACUUAUAUUGGGGGGAGGGGUGUAGCAGGGAUGACCGGGAGAACCCCUUAACGAAUUUGGUGAGAACCGCACUCGAACGAUCAGCGGUUGUCCUGGUCACUCCACACACACACACAUCAAUAAAUUUCCCUUCUUCCCAACCUACUCGUCCUUC